rnacentral:misc_RNA from 1 species
CCCCACUAUCAGACUGGCUGUCUGCAAACGAUUCAACAUAAAUUGAAGAGGCAGUCAAUGAUUUAUGAUCAUUUGAAGGGGAUGCUUUACGAGCAAAGGUUUUUAGCCUACGACACUCAGCUUCAAGCUUAGCAACCUUCUUUAUGCUUUCCAAAUGUUGUUUGCUAGCUGUUUCAGCUGCUUGGAUGCUUAGGUCCCUCUCCAUAAUCCUAAUUUCUAGCUCCUCAGCUUGAGAAAGGAGCUCAAGUUUAAGGGAAGAGUUAUCUUUCUCUGCAGCCUCAAGCUUUCGUCGAAGAUCAGAAUCAACUGAUGUUGUUGCUUCACUUUUAGCAGUUUGAAGUUGUGCCUCAAGCUGAACAAGCUUG